CAUGGUUUUUUGAUAAUAAUUUAAGAUUUAAUCUGCUCAAUGAUGAAUUAAAUUGCCGCAGUAUUUUAACUGUGCAAAGGUAGCAUAAUAAUUAGUUUCUUGAUUAGAAGCUGGAAUGAAUGAUUGGACGAUAAAUUAACUGUCUCUUAUUAAUUAUUUAAUGAAUUUUAUUUUUAAGUAAAAAAGCUUAAAUUUUAUUAAAAGACGAGAAGACCCUAUAGAGUUUUAUAUUAAAUUUAGUUAAUUAAUUUUAGUAAUUAUUAAUUAAUUUAUAUUAUUUGAUUGGGGUGAUUUGAAAAUUUUAUUAAUUUUUUAAAAAUUUAAUUUUUAAUUUGAAAUUUUAUAAUCUAAUUUUUUAAAAUUAAAAUAAAUUACCUUAGGGAUAACAGCGUAAUUUUUUUUUAAAGUUCUGAUUAAAAAAAAAGUUUGCGACCUCGAUGUUGGAUUAAAAUUAAUUUU
rnacentral:rRNA from 1 species